rnacentral:misc_RNA from 5 species
AGAUGCUCAUCCCACUUAUUAUGAUAGCCUGGUUUUUAUAGCCAAUUUAGCUUCAUAAACCCAGGGAUGACGCAGAGCCGAUUUUAGGGUGCCUAUUGUCCAUGUAAACGAUGUUGAAUAUCUUCAUCACAUACCGGGCAUAACGUUGAGUGAGGCACCGACAU